UCACAUAGAAUUUUACCCAACUAUGACGACUUCCGCUUCGAGAAACCCGGACAUGUGAAAAGGGUUGAGAUUAAGAACAGCUUAACUGAUUGUGUCACAGCUCUGUUAAACGCAUACUCAUUAAAGUUUUGCCUCUUCACAUCAGGCGUGACGUAAUGACGCAAAGACGAACGGCUGCAUGCAUGCUCGAAUUUCCCGCGGAAACCUACCAGUACCACUCGAAUUAGAAAACAUUACAAGCUUACGGUUGUGAAUCGGGCUAAGGGUUGAGAAGCAGACGCUGUCAUGCGCACCUGAGCGAUCAGUUAUAGUCUCACACUAACAGCGACCUGAAGCAUGAACAAAUGAUCUCGAGUCUUGAAGGUGUUUGAGGCCUUUCUGAGCUCCUGCCAGUGUUUAGUGGAGGAGGACACAAGCUGAGCGCUCAAUAAACCAGACCUCGUCCCAGGACACAAGACUGCGCAGAUGGGUUGCAAAGCUCUGUGAUCUUUGGCAAGGACAAGGAGCCAGUUUGGAGCGGAGGUUCAGCCAUGAAGGCAGGAAGUCUCUCUUCUUCAGUGUGUGUGUGUCAGAGUGAGGUGUCUGAAGUCAUUGAGGUGCAGUGGUGUGAGUCUGACUUUAAUCUCUCUCUGGCUCCUGGAGACGAUCAUCCGGCCGAACCUCCAGAAUCAUCCAGACCAGCGAGUCACCUGGAAAUCGUUUAGCGCUUGUGCUGACAGGAGGAGGAGGAGGUCGCUCAAUGAUGGUCCUCGUCUCGUGAACGAAUCAGCUGUGUAUUUCUGCACACAAGAUGUCCGACAGCUCCAGUUCCUCACUUCCAGCUUCCUCUGGUUUCUUCAGCAUCAGACGAGCGGCCACACAUGCACACAGCUUAUAUUUGUUGACAUUAUGUGUUUGUGUGAUCGAUCCUCUAUGUGUGUAUGUGUGUGUGUUUUGCUCGAGAUAAAGCAUCUCUCUUUCUCUCCGUUUGAGUGAUUGUGGUGUGAAAUCCCAUCAGUAUCUGAGCUCAAAUCAAACACCUGAUGGAGGAUUGACCAGCUAACCGACUCGCUUCAUGAGGGGCGAAAAAUCCUGCCGACGUGGACUGAAUGUGUGUGUGCUAUAGAUUCAUCAUUGAAAAUGAUGGCACUCCCUCGCAGCUGUCCGCAGUGGAACUUCAAGCCCAUCUGUCUCCAUGGAAGUUAUUUCCCAUAAUGCCUCUGUCCCUCGGAGCGGGAGCCGGUGACAGAGAUCGAGAGCGGUCAUUCUGAACGGGGCCGUGGGAAGGAUCUCCAUUUCUAACAAAUGUCAUCAUGAGUCCAUCAAAGCCUGUUGCUGGAGAUUGAUUGGCGGCGUUAUCCUCCGACGGGAGAAGCGUCUGCUUGCCCUGGGAGGAUCACACUGAUUUUAGCUCCAGAAUGAGAACACUGCGAUCGGACCAAAGGGGAACAUUCAUAACUCUGGAUGAUGCAUUUCCACAGUGAGGUCAAAGGUCACAGGACUCGAGCGUGUGACUCACUGUCAGAACGGUUUGAUCCCUUCCAGUGAUGUUUAUGGGCUGAUAGCUCUGUGAUGAAGUGAUCUAGUGUGAUUCUGUGAAGCUCAUAAACGCAUCGACACUCCUGCAGUCACACGCAGCCCUCGUCACAUGACGACGCUGGAAUCUACGGCAUGUUUCAUGUGCAUCUUACAUGCAUUCAUGGGCAAAUCUGAAAUUCAGAGAACUGCACUGGAAACAUCAGGAAGAAGCUGAAUUAUGUCUGAUCUGAGGAAACAUCAGGCCUCUAAAACCUCAGAGACCAGCAGAAAACUGAGGAUGAGAGAGAAGUGAUAGCAGGAGGAAAGAGUUUUAAAAGCAUAAAACAUUUUAUCAGGUUAUCAUGUUGGUCAAGAUUUCUUGCACUGAACAGACAGUUAUAAUUUAGUUUUUAGAAUCAUUUUUUACACUUUUAAACAGGCUGUUUUUGCUGCCGAACAUUUAAGAUCUUCAUUGAAUUAUGAUGAUUGAAUAAUCUGUUUCCGUGUGGAAUGAGUUACAGCGCUUAGUUCCAUUUUUGUUGGCUAAUAAAAGAUUUCUGAAUCUUUUUUUGCAGCUGGCUUUCAAAAAAUACUAAAAAUAUAUGCAUUUAUUUAUAAAUAAAAACAUCUUUCUCAGCAAA